UACGGACAAACUGCAUGACACGUGCAGUGCAGUGGCACAUAGUACCCGUGCACGUGCGUAUUAUACUGAGCGCAUGGUGGUUGCUUUAAUUUAAUCCGUUAUGAUUUCGCGACUUCUUGUAUCAUCAAGGCAACGCGUAAGAAUAGUCUCUGAGGAAUCGCUGGCACACCUACAUGAUAUGGAAUUUGGAUAUGGUCCGGCAAAACAUGGCAAUGUGCACACACUGUAGGCGUAUACUCAUCAGUCAUGUCAGAUUGUCAGUGUGAAGUCGCUAACUUGGUCUGGAAUCAACUCGCUUGGAGUCAACUCCGUCUCAGGUCAGCUUGGUCCCAAGUCAACUCGGUCUUGUCAACUCUGGAAGGCAGUUUUUCAGCAAAGAGGUGUGGCAGUGAUGGAUGAAGAAAGUCAAGGAAACGUCGAAGAGUGGCAUGUUGGAGACUCAACUUCAUUAGGGCCAGACUAGUGGACUAUACCUCUGUAUACUUGGCCCUGCUCCAGUACUACUAAACUAGAAACAAGUGGAGGAAGGCAUAAAUAUUAGGAUAAAGCUCCCCGGCCGUGAUCGGUAUCAGCCACAUACAGGUCUGCCAUGUAAUCGAAUGCACCCUAUACGCCUGCAUUGCAUUGGCACACUUUGAUGCUGGACUCCACACCUGCAUACACACCUGGCAGCUGGCAAUCAGAUCAAGCCCCUUAUUGUCAUAAUAUCUGCUCUUGAAACAUUGAUGGAGGUCCAAGUAAGACGGUCAGAUUGUGGAAUCAAAGAGGGCCAGCAGUCUACAACCUUUAGCAGAGGAGUUGAACUGGCAAUUGUUGGCAAGUGAAUAGAAGCAGAGAUGGUAGUGAGAGUGGAAGAAACCUGUGCUGUCCAUCCAGGAGAAGUCUGUCUUCUGCAGUGACUGUAAGUUGUCUUUUCAAGUAUUGAAGAUGAUGUUGAGGCCAUACGUUGAUGUCACAGACACAUGCAUAAAGUAACGUCAAGUCAGUAUUGAAGAUUUCAAAUAUAGACACUCAAGCCAAUACGGGACCCAAUCCCUUUCAGGUUUUACGACAAUCCCCAUUGUGCAGUUAAUUGUGUAUAAGGGAGUAGAUAGAAUCUGUCCCGCAAGACUUGUUCUGAUAUCGCCACAGUACAGUAGUCAAGCCUUCAGGAGUUUUCAGUAUCUCUUUUGUUGUAUUUUUGACACCAAUUUCGUGAAAAUCGUACAUGCAUGUAUCUUUCUUGUUACGAGCACCCCUUUUUCCUGAAAGAAAAGGCAAAAAAAAAAGCAAGUCUUGUCCAAGCCACUUUGGGUCAUCAGGCUAGUGUUUAUUGCGGUU